UACGUACGAGGCGAGCGUUAUCCGGAAUUAUUGGGCGUAAAGGGCGCGUAGGCGGCCUGUUAAGUCGAACGUGAAAUCCCCGGGCUCAACCCGGGAACUGCGUCCGAUACUGGCAGGCUUGAAUUCGGGAGAGGGAUGCGGAAUUCCAGGUGUAGCGGUGAAAUGCGUAGAUAUCUGGAGGAACACCGGUGGCGAAGGCGGCAUCCUGGACCGAGAUUGACGCUGAUGCGCGAAAGCCAGGGGAGCAAACGGG
rnacentral:rRNA from 1 species